AACGCGUUGAAUGCUGGGAGAAUAAACUACCCUUGCUUUUACUUACCUUGAUUGUCCUGUGACCUGCGCCUCUCUAAGCCGGCAUCUCCAUUGAAGUCCAUCUCUGCAUUGCUCUUUGUCUAGCCGGCUGGCUGCGGACACUACAUGCGCUCACCAUUGUUGUGUAUGUGGGUACACAACACUACCAGGUUCCUUUUCUGCUCCCUCCCUCCUAAACUCAUCUUUCAAUCCGAGAAACAGCUCGAAUCUUUCUAGAGAGAGAAGGGAUAAGAUUACAUGCUGCCCGUAGAUGUCUACUGGGGAAGAGAGGCGAGAAGGGAGAUGCAGAAAGAUUAUAGACACGUUUACUGUAGUCAGCUGACUGACCACUUCCUUUGAUAAAUUAAACCCUGUGAUUUUCUUUGGAUCAGACUUGUAAUCACAUGACCCAGUUACAGCAAUGAAACACACUGAAAUACAACAUAUGGUGCUUGAGAUGAAGCCACUCUAGGAAAUGUUCCAAGAACUGCUUCUAUGGGAAAACCUGUCACCUUGUUUUUCUAAGGAUGAGAUAAUGUCACAAGCCCUACACAACCUCCAUGUUAGUUUCCCAGUGCGGUUCUUUACAACAAAUAUUUGUGGCUGAAAUCCUACACCGGGCGUUGCAGAUGUCCGGACUCUGUGGUUAGCAAGUGACCUGUACUAACAUUGCUUCAUUGUAAAGGUAUGAAAAGAAAAGAAACGCAUCGCUUGGUCUACGAAUGCACUAAACUCGUGCUGCCCUUGUCAAAGACACAAGAUACAAACGCAAUCUUUAAUAGGUAUCUGGUUCAAUUCUUCAAAAAUAAUUCUAUUCCCAGGUGUCUGAGUAAAGACUCCGAAAAGGAAGGAAAAACUUUAAUUAGUUUCUUUGAAUAAGAAAGAACACAGAAGAAACUGGCAACAAACAAACAUGUGUCAUGUGACUUACGUCUUGUAUCCUGAGCUGCCAUAAAGGAGUCUUUGAGGGAAGAAGCAGAUGAUAGAUAUCUCUUUAUUAAUAUUGUAUUUCAUGCCUAGUAUAAAUAAUUGAUGUAUAAUCUUCUGUUCACACUUGCCCCAUGCCUUCCAUUCGUAACAUCAAACUAUGAAUCCCAAUGCCACCCAACAGAUCCCAUUGAAUUAUCAUGGAUUUAAUGGGUUCUAAUAUAUAUAAAGGGGUCAAGUAUGUUCCUCUCCCUGAAGAACACAGAUUCCGGUGUAAGAACGAGAUUCAAAAAGUCCAUUAGUCACAGGUCUCUCA